rnacentral:lncRNA from 1 species
GAAUGUUUGCAGAAUUUCCCUUUCAUGGCAUGAAAGAGGACUCUCCGAUAGAAAGUCACACAGGGAUAUUUUGAAAUGGCUGGGAAGGUACCAGCAUCAAGAGAAGAUGAAAAAGCAAAACGAAGUCCUGUUUGAAUAUUGUGACUGUUUUUAAAGACAGAUAAAAGGGUAAAGAAAAUAAUUCCCAUUCAUCCUUUUGUUUAGUUUUUGGCAUUGUAGCUAAGAUUCUCCUAGCAAUUGUUUUCCCCUUCUGCCUUAAGGAAAUCCGCUAAAAAUCUUGGGUUUUGGCAGGCUCGAUUUUCUCAUUUUCCCUCAUAACUAAUUCUUCUGCUUUUUAAUCCGGAGAAACUAGGAACAAUCCGGCCCAAGAUGGAAAUAAGUCUGGGAAGCUGCGAAGAGUGUGAUUUCCGAUCGCACCACCCACCGGCCUCCCGCUUCAAAGUUCUCCUGCCCAGUGUGAACCUCACUUCUGGCUUUUUCUACAAAAGUGGCCAUGAGCGCCCAAUGCACAGAAUGAAUUCGGCUACAAAGAGGCCUUUGAGAGCUCCCGAGGAAGUGCCCCACUGGGAAACCAGGUGGAUGGCAAACGUUCCCUUUUCAUUACAAAUGAGUUCAGGGACAGGGCCACCCUGAUGGGACUCUCAACUCCAUCCGAAAGCUAAGCCCCACCAGCCCACUCAUUUGAAAACCAAACAGGUUUCCUUCUGCCUCCCCAUUCCCUGUUCACAAACACGUUUACAAGUGCUUGAUAGGUGACCUUAUUUACUUAGUAACCUGUGGAUUCAUUUAUCUUGAAAUUAGUAGGUAAUGAAGUGGAAAACCUCAACAGCCCUCCCACUAAUUAACAUGAUAAUAAGAUUGUUUUGCUACAGAGGUACAAUUAGCAUGUAUGAGCCAAAGGGGAAGAAAGAUCAAUAAAAUGUCUGAAGGGUACUACUCCCAGGUCUCCAGAGAAGAACAAAGAAGGGAAACUACAGAUUUUAAGACCCAUCCGUGUAAACACAUCCAACUCUGAGACCGGACCCUACUGAAAUGAUUUGAUGCCUGCUGGAGAAGGAGGUGUGGAGAUAACUGAAAGGAAUUAAUUAUAAAGUACACAUUUUGGUGCAGUCGAUGGCCUUUGAAAAUAAAAGGGAAAAACUGGGGGGGCUUUUCCUGCUGUAAGAACUACCAGAGAACCAUCUGCUUGAGGAAUCCUUUAAAAAUUGCCAUGGGUCGUUUAGCAGUUCAUGGUUCCAUCUUGCUCUGUUCUUGCAAUCAGAAAAAGAACUGAGCUAUAUCCAGGGAAGAUCCUGCCAUGCUCCUUCCCGCUGAAGGAGCCUCUUCCUGAAGAUUAGGAGAUAAUGCAUCUGGAAUAACAUGAACUCAUCCAG